rnacentral:rRNA from 1 species
CGAUACGAGUUUGAUCCUGGCUCAGGAUGAACGCUAGCGGCAGGCUUAAUACAUGCAAGUCAAGGGGGUAGCAAUACAACCGGCGCACGGGUGAGUAACGCGUACACAACAUACCAUAUACUGGAGUAUAGCUUUGGGAAACUGAAGGUAAUCCUCCAUAACAUUGCGAGAGGGCAUCUGAUUGCAAUUAAAGUUUCGGCGGUAUAUGAUUGGUGUGCGUUUGAUUAGCUAGUUGGUAGGGUAACGGCCUACCAAGGCGACGAUCAAUAGCUGGCGUGAGAGCGCGACCAGCCACACUGGAACUGAGACACGGUCCAGACUCCUACGGGAGGCAGCAGUAGGGAAUAUUGGACAAUGGAGGAAACUCUGAUCCAGCCAUGCCGCGUGAUAGAUGAAGGCCCUCUGGGUUGUAAAUAUCUUUUAUCUGGGAAGAAACACUCCUAUUCUUAGGAACUUGACGGUACCAGAGGAAUAAGCACCGGCUAACUCCGUG